CUUUAAAUACUAAACUCUAAACAAAAAUAAUGAAUCUCAAACUUUAACCUUAUCCAAUUAUAUUUAACUCUAAACCAACCCAUAAAUCAUAAACUACAUCUUAACCCCUAAACCAUAAACCUCAAUUCCAAAACAUGAAGUUUCUUACCCUUAUCGACUCAAAAGCUUCAUAAGGACACGGAGUUGCAACCUGAACCCUAAACCUCUAAAUCCUAUACCCUAAACCCUAAACCAUAAACUCUAUCUUUAAGCACUAAUCCCUAAAUCCUAUACUAUAAAUCCUAAUCCUAAAAUCUGACCUUAAAUUUAAAUCUAAAACCAAAACCAUUAAUCAUACGAUACAUCCUAACCUCCAAACAUUUUAAUGAACAUCCGAGCAUAUCCACACUUUUAUAACCACAUGGAUAUAAAUGGUCAAGGUGUCCAUGAAAUCAAGUCCAAAUUGAAUGUU
rnacentral:lncRNA from 1 species